CGCCGCCGUCAGUGGCCUCGCCGGGCAGCUGCCCCUGCGUUCUGAAACGACUGGCACGUUUCUGCUUUCCCAUGGUCCUCCAUGCAGGGGGCGAAGCAGCUGCACGCGCGCGCGCUCCGCCGCGGCGUGCGCCGCCUGCAGCCGCUGCUCCUCCGCGUCCUCGCCGCCGGAGACCACCGCUACGCCGCCCGCCUGCUCGCCUCCUACCCGGCGCCUCCUUCGGCGCCGCUCCACAACCGCCUCCUCCACGCUCUCGCCUCCCUCCACCGUCCACACCCCCUCCUCCUGCCCUUCUUCUCCCGCCUCCAUCGCCUUGGCCUCCUCACUCCGCUGUCAUUCACGCUACUCUUCUCCUCCUCCGCCGCCGCCGCCGCCGCCUCCGCCUCCUCUUCUUCCACCCGCUUCUUCCUCUGCUCCCGCUCCCUGCUCAUCAAAUCAGGCCACUUCGCAUCAAGCGACCCCUUCCUCGCCUCCGCGCUUGUCUCUUUCUACGCCAAGAACCAUCGCCUGGUUGAAGCCAGGAAGGCCUUCGACGAAAUGACGUGCAGGGAUACAGCUGUGUACAACGCGCUUCUUUCGGCUUAUUCUAAAGGUGGCCUCAUUGAUUCGGCACAGAAGCUGUUCGAGGAAAUGCCUGAGAGGAAUGUGGUUUCCUGGACCGCAAUGGUGUCCGGGUACGCGCAGAACGGUCGCCAUGAGGAGGCGUUGGAAACGUUCUUGGAGAUGUGGGAGGGGGCAGGGGUACAACCUAAUGAGUUGACGGUGAGCAGUGUUCUUCCUGCAUGUGCAGCAGUUGGCGCGAUGGAGCUGGGGAGGAAGGUGGAGGAGUAUGCGAGGGGAAAAGGCCUCCUGAUGAAUGUGUAUGUGGCUAAUGCGCUACUGGAGAUGUAUUCCAAGUGUGGAAGCAUUCAACAAGCUUGGCAGGUGUUUCAGGGCAUCGGUCAUCGGCGGGAUCUCUGUUCUUGGAACUCAAUGAUCAUGGCAUUUGCUGUGCAUGGCCUGUGGAGGGAGGCCCUUGCCUUGUUCCAUAAGUUGAGGAUGGCAGGAUUCAGGCCAGAUGGUAUUACUUUUGUUGGGGUCAUCUUGGCUUGUACCCAUGGAGGCUUGGUAAAUGAAGGAAAACUGUUCUUUGACUCGAUGGAAGCAGAACUUGGCCUGAAACCAAGAAUUGAGCACUACGGCUGCAUGGUUGACCUUCUUGGGCGUGCUGGUCUCCUGAAAGAAUCAUACGGUCUAAUUGCGAGCAUGCCAGUGGAGCCUGAUGCUGUCAUUUGGGGGGCCUUGCUUGGUGCUUGCAGCUUCCAUGGCAAUAUAGAACUAGCAGAAUUAGCCGUGAAUAAGCUCAUCUACCUUGAGCCACAUAACACAGCAAACCUAGUGAUCCUUUCAAAUAUAUAUGCAUUAUAUGGUAAAUGGGACGGUGUUGCCCGAAUGUGGAAGUUACUGAAGGAGAAAGACCACAAGAAAUCAGCUGGGUACAGCUUCAUUGAGUUAGAUGGUAAGAUGCACAGGUUCCUUGUUGAGGAUAAGUCGCAUCCAAGAUUUGAGGAGGUCUACAAUACCCUUAACAGUGUCACAAUGACCAUGAAGCUGGUUGGCUUGGACAAUCUGCAAGAAUUGAAAGGCUAAUUUUUCUGUCAUUACUUGUUGUAGCCUUUAGUGCUGUAAUGCACAAGCAAUUUGAAGAAAGUGCAAUAUUAAGUUGUGAAAGAUUUCCUCUGAACUAUUUGCUCUGAUCUUUCAUGACAAAUUGGCAUGCAAAAGGCUGUACCAUGGAGACAAAAGACAUAAUGGACUGGAUAUUGAGUCCCUGGCACAUUUUUCAGUAGACCAAAAUGGCUCUCUUCUGUUCUUGUUAUUCAGUGGUACAAGACUACCAGGCAUAUCACAGCUAAAGUAUGUCAUUCACAGAUAUACCACAAGAUGCUGAAAGCAACUCCUGGCUAAGUUGUGAUCAUAAAGGCACAAAGAAGCUGAAAAGUCUGAUCUCAGACAGACAAACCCAAAGACUCAGUCAGCACUCGGAUGGUCCGCCGUUGUGGAAAACACUUCCAUUCAGGCCAAUUUCAAAAUUAGGGGCUUACCUAUUGAAGAAAAAGACACUCAACAUGUCUUCAAAGCACUGACACGGGACAAUAAUACAUUAAGUUUCAUUUACUUACGUUGCCUGUUUCUUUUGCUGGAACAAUUCACAGUUGGGAUAUUCCUGAGUACUUCAGCUGAGAAAGAUUUGGUUGGUUAAACAAAACUGUGCAUUAUAGAGCAUAUUUUCAGUCCUUUUAGGAGAAUGUAGCACAGAGUUGCAUUAGAGCUGUAGUAGUACCAUUUUGUUAUUACUCGGUUAGAGUUGUGAGUGGUCCCUUUAUUUGCACCAAGCUUUGUUUGUUAUAUUCCAGAUUUUCGUAUCCUGGUCAUCGUUGUCAUUUUCCUUCGAUACAAUUUGGAAGAGUAAGAGGCCUUGUGGGUCUUGACUUCUUCUGUAUAAUUAAAAACACACAUGUGCUUUGUGAUCAUUGAUAGCUUAUUGCAUUCAAGAGUUCUCAGCUGGGUGGCUGUUCCUUUUGAACCAUCAAUCAAAAAGAAA